rnacentral:rRNA from 1 species
AUUGAACGCUGGCGGCAGGCCUAACACAUGCCAGUCGAGCGAGCGGCGGACGGGUGAGUAAGGUAUGGGGAUCUGCCCGAUAGCGGGGGAUAACUACUGGAAACGGUGGCUAAUACCGCAUACUAUCGGAUGAACCCAUAUUGGAUUAGCUAGUAGGUGGGGUAAAGGCUCACCUAGGCGCCGAUCUCUAGCUGGUCUGAGAGGAUGAUCAACAACACUGGAACGGAGACACGGCCCAGACUCCUACGGGAGGCAGCAGUGGGGAAUAUUGCACAAUGGGGGAAAUCCUGAUGCAGCCAUGCCGCGUGUAUGAGGAAGGCCUUCGGGUUGUAAAGUACUUUCAGCUGUGAGGCGUUACCCGCAGAAGAAGCACCGGCUAACUCCGGGCCAGCAGCCGCGGUAAUUC